CUUCCACUGGCAUUGCAAGCUGGCAUGGCAACCUAUUGCCUAGCAAUUCAUUGUCACUGUUUUCUAUUCCUUUGUUUAAUGAAGCCAAUUAGGAAUUGAAACAAAUGUUAUGUUUUAUAGAGGAAAGGAAAAAUUAUAAAUAUGGCAUAGGGAUAUAUUUACAAGAGUAACUGCUGAAUAAAUUAACAAAUUGUCUAACAGUAAACAGAUGAAAUAAGAUGUAUCUAUCUAUCUAUCUAUCUAUCUAUCUAUCUAUCUAUCUAUCUAUCACAAAGGGGUUGCACUCACGGUCUUCCUUAGAAAAGGUCUCCUUUAUUCCAACAUAUAGAUCAACGUUUCAGUCCACUCAGG